rnacentral:rRNA from 1 species
UACGUAGGGUCCGAGCGUUGUCCGGAAUUAUUGGGCGUAAAGAGCUCGUAGGCGGCUUGUCGCGUCGUCCGUGAAAACCUGCGGCUCAACUGCAGGCUGGCGGUCGAUACGGGCAGGCUGGAGUUCGGUAGGGGGAGACUGGAAUUCCUGGUGUAGCGGUGAAAUGCGCAGAUAUCAGGAGGAACACCGGUGGCGAAGGCGGGUCUCUGGGGCCGAUACUGACGCUGAGGGAGCGAAAAGCGUGGGGGAGCGAACAGG